rnacentral:rRNA from 1 species
UUCGAUGAUACACGAAGACCUUACCAGGGUUGACAUGCUAGUGGUAGGGAUCCGAAAGGUGACCGACCCUUCGGGGAGCCUAUACAGGUGUUGCAUGGCUGUCGUCAGCUCGUGUCGUGAGAUGUUCGGUUAAGUCCGCUAACGAGCGCAACCCUCGUCGUAUGUUAUAUGUGUCAUACGAGACUGCCGGUAAAAAGCCGGAGGAAGGUGAGGAUGAUGUCAAGUCAGCAUGACCUUUAUAUCCAGGGCUACACACACGCUACAAUGGUCUGUACAAUGGGUAGCCAAGCCGCGAGGCGGAGCCAAUCCUGAAAGCAGGCCUCAGUUCAGAUUGCAGUCUGCAACUCGACUGCAUGAAGCCGGAGUUGCUAGUAACCGCAGGUCAGCAAUACUGCGGUGAAUACGUUCCCGGGUCUU